rnacentral:scaRNA from 2 species
AUGACCACUGCGCAAUCUGAGUUCUGGGAACCAGGUGAUGGAGUGUGCUGAGAACACUGAGG